ACACUCGUUAUGGUAUAACCAUUUAUUUCUAUUAACCUUGAAUUAUACAUAAAUACAUAUAUUAAUGAUUAAUUAUGUAUUAUUUGAAAGAAUACACCCUAGGUUAGCGGUGAUUCUUCUUACAGAAAGAGAUGUUAGCACCACGACUAUCUAUGAAAGAAUGAAGAAAAAGAAAAUAACGAUAACAGAGAUCCUUUAUCUCGUUCCAAUCAGUAAACUGUGUUUUUUCUUUACAAAAAUCCAAUUCAUACCCAUCCCUAAUGACGGCUUAAAGAUUGUCAUUGUAGUUAAAAGGAAUAAGUAGAAUGGGCAUGUUAAAAGAAGAGAAAGCAAAAAUCAACAUGAAGAUUGUCUUGGAGGGGGAGAAUGAAUAAAGAUCUUUUGUUUCUAUUAACCUUGGGUUAGACCAUCUUGUAAUCGGGCUUGCUAGAAUUUUCAAUUUGAUGUAUCGCACCGACUGUUGUGCAAGAAAGGCAGAUUUUGACAAAACACGCAACCCCUCAUAGUCUAUGACGCCACUAUUGCUAGAAUUUUCAUGAAUAUGAUUGAUUGGUAUAAGAUAGUAAUUUCAGUUCCUCCAAUCUUACAAUAUUGGUCAGAUAAAGAACUUAUGAAAGCAAAGAAUGAGCCUUUGAAAAUAAAGAAAUAUCCAUGCCAUUCCCAAUCUGUAGAAAUGGCAGUGAAACUAGUUUCAGAGGUUUCCUGUAAGGUUUACGGAUAUAACCAAAGACACGGAUACAUUUUGUCAACUUUAAAAUCAAGAGAUAAACUAAGGAAAUUUAAAACUAAGUAUUAGCAUCACUGGCUAUUACAUUCACGAAACUUUAUGUAAAUUGAAUGACGUCAACUUUGCCCGUGCACCAACUAUCUACGCUUCCCUCUUGAUGAUUUGUUGGAUAAUUAUAAUUGUAAGUCCAUGUUGUACUCAGUGUAGAAUAGGGGAUCUACAAUGGAGUAAUUUUUGCCAAUGUCCUUGUUUACUUGCUUGUUCCCUUGUAACAGCUAAUUGUAGUGGAUCUUCUCCAAAACUUUAUUUAAAUUGUCAUGGUUACCAUGUUGAUUUUUGGUUGAUGUUUAUAUACAUGAUUUUCAUCACUGAUAAUUUAUCACGAGCGCUUUGUUGAACGGGCUACAUCGUUCCAGAAUAUUUUAAUUUAUUUUUUUUGAAAUUUUCUGAUUAAAAUAUUAUUUUUUCCGUCUCUAAUGGCUUUUGUAUAAAAAAAAUAUU
rnacentral:lncRNA from 1 species